CCCAGACCUCAUUUAAGGGUUGGCAGGGGUGAGGUAAGGAUAUCUCUCAGGAGAUUCCUACCUACUGGAGGUCUUUCAAAGGCUCUCUGAGAUUCCUUUCCAGCCAUACUGUUUGAAAUGAUACUCCUGUUUCUGAAUGUAAAACAGAAUCCAGCAUGAAAAAGGCAAUAAUACAGACGGGUUUUGUUGCCAACAGAAUCUGCACAAGUGUCGGGGCUGGCUGAUUGCUUGGGCAGAGCGCUUUGGAGAGCAGCAGGAGUGUGCUUAGAGAGCAGUGAUGGCUCAUGGACAAGUGGCUGAGACCACCUCUUAAAAUCCAUGUCCUUGACAGCUGAGACUCUCUACUGGCUUAAUGACACACUGGAACUGCAUCUCGAGGAAGAGGCACACUGGCCAGUUUCCCCUCCCCCAUGUCCAACACAUGCUUGCUUUGAAGAUACCAGCUUUCUUUAUUCAUAUUCUUACAGGAGUAAUUAAGAAUUACCGUUACUCAGACCGUUUGACUGAAAUGAUUCAAUAAAUGUCACUAAAAGAAGAUAAUACUACUUACCUUGACAGCUCUAGGCACUGCCACCUUACAAACAUUCCUACCAAAACUGAGCCAUGUUGCUGGUCGUGAUGGGCUUGUUGGAUACCUCACAUCCAGGCCAGUGGGCAAGGAGUGCCAAUGUCCUGGUUCCCACUGUCAUGACAACAACCUGAUGCUAUGAUGCAUCUUUCUUUAUUGACAGCAUAAUAUACAUGUGAAAGAAGGGCAGAGUGGAACAGCACCUUCUGUCUGUGCACCUUCCAGGCAGUCCCAUGGCACUCAGUUACCCAAUUGGUAUUUGCCCAAUAAAAGUGGCCCUGAUGCCCACAUCACUAAGCUCUCAGUGAAGGUGUCAAAGGGAGGCUGUGUGUGACCAGUAGCAGCCACAAUAAAAAUAAAUCAAGCAACCAAAACCAUGUACACAAAGGAACCCAUCUGGUUGCGCAUAGCCAGCUGCCUCAUGGCAUUGAAUGCCACUUGGGCUCAUCUAUCCCUGGAGAGGCUGCUGCUUAAUCAGAGCAUCUCAAAGGGAGACCUCACGUCUGUCCCUCCCUCCCUGUUCUCCUCCUUCCCAUUUUGUCUGAACAUGAGUAAAUGGUCAGAUGCUAUUCUCAGUUCUAAAUACCAGUAAAAGCUCCAUGAAAGCCUGUUUGCCCACCGUCCCUUCCCCCUCCCAAACCCUUUUGUCUUCAAAGCCCUUGCAUCGCUCUGCUCCCAUGUGUGCCAAGAGCAGCCAGCCCUCUGCUUCUGGCCCAUGGGACUGAAGGCAGGGGUGGGUGUGGAGUAGCGUGUGCAUGUCAGAGCAUGA
ensembl:lncRNA